GGGUCGCUAACUCAACGGUAGAGUACUCGGCUUUUAA
rnacentral:tRNA from 1 species